AAACUGCGAAUGGCUCAUUAAAUCAGUUAUCGUUUAUUUGAUAGUACCUUACUACAUGGAUACCUGUGGUAAUUCUAGAGCUAAUACAUGCUAAAAACCCCGACUUCAGGAAGGGGUGUAUUUAUUAGAUAAAAAACCAACGCCCUUCGGGGCUCCUUGGUGAAUCAUAAUAACUUAACGAAUCGCAUGGCCUUGCGCCGGCGAUGGUUCAUUCAAAUUUCUGCCCUAUCAACUUUCGAUGGUAGGAUAGUGGCCUACCAUGGUGGCAACGGGUAACGGGGAAUUAGGGUUCGAUUCCGGAGAGGGAGCCUGAGAAACGGCUACCACAUCCAAGGAAGGCAGCAGGCGCGCAAAUUACCCAAUCCCGAUACGGGGAGGUAGUGACAAUAAAUACUGAUACGGGGCUCUUUUGGGUCUCGUAAUUGGAAUGAGAACAAUUUAAAUCCCUUAACGAGGAACAAUUGGAGGGCAAGUCUGGUGCCAGCAGCCGCGGUAAUUCCAGCUCCAAUAGCGUAUAUUAAAGUUGUUGCAGUUAAAAAGCUCGUAGUUGAACCUUGGGUCUGGCUGGCCGGUCCGCCUCACCGCGAGUACUGUCCGGCUGGACCUUUCCUUCUGGGGAACCUCAUGGCCUUCACUGGCUGUGGGGGGAACCAGGACUUUUACUGUGAAAAAAUUAGAGUGUUCAAAGCAGGCCUUUGCUCGAAUACAUUAGCAUGGAAUAAUAGAAUAGGACGUGCGGUUCUAUUUUGUUGGUUUCUA
rnacentral:rRNA from 1 species